AACGCACAUUGCGCCUUCUGGUAUUCCGGGAGGCAUGCUUGUUUGAGUAUCAGUAAACACCUCAACUUGACCUCAAGUUGGACUUGAGCAGUUUCCAAACUUUUCUCCCUCAAAAGGGGUUUUGUGCGGAAUGCUUAAAAUGCAGGUGCAGCUGGGAUCCCCAUUUCAUUGUCCUAGGCUACAAGCAUUUCUGCUUAAUCCCGUCAAACGGAUUAUACCUUUUUGCUGCAGCCAAACGAUAAUUGGGCCCGAAACGCUGACUGAUGCAGGAUUUCUGACAGAUUUUUUUUUUCUGUCUGUUCCACUCGAUCUCAAAUCAAGUAAGACUACCCGCUGAACUUAA
rnacentral:misc_RNA from 1 species